AAAUUCAAGUUGCUCAGAAAAUACCACUAAAAGGAGAAUCCUCAAAGACUAGAACACUAAUACAAAAGGAAAAAAGAUGAGCUGCCCAAAGAAAAUACUGACUAGAAGUGGCAGCAUCUUUCAUUACAUUCAAACUGGGUGACCAAUUACAUUGUGGCAUAAUCCUGUUCUCCCUUCCACCAUGGAAUUUUCAACAUUUAACAGCAUACGGCCAAACGGAUGGAAAAAUCUCCAUGUUUUUUUACCUUGUCAAUGAAAGACUCGCCAUUGCUAUGAAGUAUACAAUGGUCAGCCAGUUCAACCGAGUGGACACAUUUUAUCAAGGAUACUGCAGUUAAUAGAUGUCAGGG
rnacentral:misc_RNA from 1 species